rnacentral:rRNA from 1 species
GACGAACGCUGGCGGCGUGCUUAACACAUGCAAGUCGAACGAUGAAGCCGGAGCUUGCUCUGGUGAAUUAGUGGCGAACGGGUGAGUAACACGUGAGUAACCUGCCCUUGACUCUGGGAUAACUGCUAGAAAUGGUAGCUAAUACCGGAUACGACCCUCGGAGGCAUCUCCAGGGGGUGGAAAGAAUUUCGGUCAAGGAUGGACUCGCGGCCUAUCAGCUCGUUGGGGAGGUAACGGCUCACCAAGGCGACGACGGGUAGCCGGCCUGAUAGGGUGACGCGCCACACUGGGACUGAGACACGGCGCAGACUCCUACGGGAGGCAGCAGUGGGGAAUAUUGCGCAAUGGGCGCAAGCCUGAUGCAGCAACGCCGCGUGAUGGAUGACGGCCUUCGGGUUGUAAACCUCUUUUAGUAGGGAAGAAGCGAAAGUGACGGUACCUACAGAAAAAGCACCGGCUAACUACGUGCCAGCAGCCGCAGUAA